rnacentral:misc_RNA from 1 species
UCUCCGUAGGUGAACCUGCGGAGGGAUCAUUACAGAGUUCAUGCCCUACCGGGUAGAUCUCCCACCCUAUGUUAUUAUUACUUUGUUGCUUUGGCGGGCCGUUAGGCUCCGGCCCGACUACCGGCCCCGGCUGGUAAGCGCCCGCCAGAGGACCCAAAACCCUGAAUAUUAGUGUCGUCUGAGUACUAUAUAAUAGUUAAAACUUUCAACAACGGAUCUCUUGGUUCUGGCAUCGAUGAGGAACGCAGC